rnacentral:rRNA from 1 species
GAUGAACGCUGGCGGCGUGCCUAAUACAUGCAAGUCGAGCGAACAGAUGAGGAGCUUGCUCCUCUGACGUUAGCGGCGGACGGGUGAGUAGCACGUGGAUAACCUACCUAUAAGACUGGGAUAACUACGGGAAACCGGAGCUAAUACCGGAUAAUAUAUUGAACCGCAUGGUUCAAUAGUGAAAGACGGUUUUGCUGUCACUUAUAGAUGGAUCCGCGCCGCAUUAGCUAGUUGGUAAGGUAACGGCUUACCAAGGCAACGAUGCGUAGCCGACCUGAGAGGGUGAUCGGCCACACUGGAACUGAGACACGGUCCAGACUCCUACGGGAGGCAGCAGUAGGGAAUCUUCCGCAAUGGGCGAAAGCCUGACGGAGCAACGCCGCGUGAGUGAUGAAGGUCUUCGGAUCGUAAAACUCUGUUAUUAGGGAAGAACAAAUGUGUAAGUAACUAUGCACGUCUUGACGGUACCUAAUCAGAAAGCCACGGCUAACUACGUG